CUGCGUGAGACUGAGUAACUGCUAGAUCCUUGGACUUCCAUUCACAGCUGCGACUGAACAAUUGUUGGGAAUUGGGCUGCCGACUAAAGAUUCGGGUGUUUUCCUGCUGGCUGAAGAGAUGAGAGAAUGGCAGCUGACUGCUGUGCAAGGCGAAAGCUGUGAAACACCCUGCAGUAGAAAGCCAGCACUGGCAGCAGGCAACAGGGCAGAGUACCAAGAUCUUGAGAAGCUUCUAUUAUAUAGUCACACCUCUGGGCUCCGACCAAUACUCCGAACAAGGUCAGGCAGAUCAACUGUCAAAAGUAAACAGAGAAUAACAGGCUAUUUAUCUGUAUCUUAGGAGAGCAAGCCAUCCAACACCUUUACUGUACCUGUGUUAGACACACAAGGGCAAACUGAGUGCUAACAGUGUUUUUUAUUUUUGUUUUUGUUUUUGUUUUCCCCCAAUUUUUUAUUAGCUAA
rnacentral:lncRNA from 1 species